AGCGAACGCUGGCGGCAGGCCUAACACAUGCAAGUCGAACGAACCUUUCGGGGUUAGUGGCGGACGGGUGAGUAACACGUGGGAACGUGCCUUUAGGUUCGGAAUAACUCAGGGAAACUUGUGCUAAUACCGAAUGUGCCCUUCGGGGGAAAGAUUAAUCGCCUUUAGAGCGGCCCGCGUCUGAUUAGCUAGUUGGUUGAGGUAAUGGCUCACCAAGGCGACGAUCAGUAGCUGGUCUGAGAGGAUGAUCAGCCACAUUGGGACUGAGACACGGCCCACCCUCCGACGGGAGGCAGCAGUAGGGAAUCUUGCGCAAUGGGCGAAAGCCUGACGCAGCCCUGCCGCGUGAAUGAUGAAGGUCUUAGGAUUGUAAAAUUCUUUCACCGGAGACGAUAAUGACGGUACCCGGAGAAGAAGCCCCGGCUAACUUCGUG
rnacentral:rRNA from 1 species